AAAGUUGAAUCCAAUUCAAUUUGGCUCAUCCUUAGCACAAUUACUCAAUCAAAUUGAGUUUAUUAGUAAUUUAAUUACUAAUUAAUCCUUCAAUAAUUAUUUUAAUUAUUUUAUAAGAUAAUUUGCCAAUCAAAUUGACCAAAUUAUCCCUGAAUGAUUCUUAAUCAUUCAUCAGCCUUCUUGAUCAAUCAGGAAUCUUCUAUGCGUGGGACCUCAUAUGUUCGAACCUAGGCCGGUAGUAUAGGAACGACUUCCUACACUAAUCAAUGUGACCAUCUAGCAAUGGUACCCGACGUCCGGAUAGGCCGAAUAUAUGCGAAGCAAAUAUUCUG
rnacentral:lncRNA from 1 species